ensembl:misc_RNA Metazoa_SRP Metazoan signal recognition particle RNA
GCUGGAUGUGGUGGUGCAUGCAUGAAGCUGAGGCUGGAGGGUCACUUGAGGCCAGGAGUUCUGGGCUAUAGUGCGCUACGCAAUCUGGUGUCCACACUAAGUUCAGCAUCAAUAUGGUGACCUCCUGGGAGCGGAGGACCACCAGAUUGCCAAGGAGGUGUGAUCCAGCCCAGGUCAGAAAGUAUGUGAAAACUGUUGUGCUGAUCAGCAGUGGUAUCACACCUGUGAAUAGCCACUGCCCUCCAGCCUGGACAACACAGUGAGACCUUGCCUGUU